UUAAAGUUUAAUGAAUUGUUCAGAUGUAAAAUGUGAUGGAAGAAUCCUACCACGUCUGCCAGAUCUGCUCCGACCCGUUCCACACCAAGGCUGGGUUGGAGCUCCAUCUUCUCCAGCACACUUCCACACAGUUCUCACACAAAUGCUCUAUGUGCGAGAAGGUUCUGCGGGAUGAACACACACUAAAAUGUCACGUGAAGACGGUUCAUGGCGAGAAAAUAUUUUCCUGCGAUGUUUGCGGGAAACGAUUUCCGCACCGGGGAGUUCUCAACGCACACAGAAAGACCCACAACAGGCCUCUGUUUACUUGCGAGGUUUGCAACGAAAUCUUUAAGGAUUCAAGUUAUUUCAAGAAACAUGUUAAAUCUCACUCAGGAUCUAGGCCCCAUGUCUGUAAAGUGUGCGGGAAAAGCUAUCUCCAAAACUCUCAUCUAAAAGUUCACAUGUCCCUUCAUGCCAAAGAGAAACCCUUUGAAUGUAAUAUUUGUCAGAAAUCCUUCAGGUUGGCUCGACCCUUUAAAGAGCAUUUAAAUAUGCACAGAAAAGUGAAAAACUUUAAGUGCACAGUUUGUGAAUAUUCUAGUUGUUUCCAUAAAAAUCUCGAAGCUCAUAUGAAGAAUCAUUUAAAGAACGAAAUCUCUAAUCGGAAAGGAAUGAAGAAAAGUAUUGAAGUACCCAGUAAACACGUGGAAAGUAAAAAAUCAAGCUUACUGAACGGAUCACAAGGUUUGAAUGAAUCAUUAGAUUCAAAUUUUUUCGUCGAAAAUAUACCUUCGAGUGUCCCUGGUUCCAGGUUCAAAAUUAAAGCUGUUUCAUCAAGAUCUGAUGGUGGCGAGGAACCUACUCUGGAUCCUAAAUCUAGUCCAGGUUUGGAGCUAGGAGCCCAGGCCGUGAAAACAGGGAUUAGUCUCGGGUUGGAGGAACAAUCUCCCGUUUUUCUUUUCGUCAAUGUUCCGGACGGAGACAAUUCUCUCCGGGAGCAAAUAUUCUCCAUCUCCGACAUAGAUUCCUUAGAGAUGGCUCAGGAGCUCUCAAUAUCAACCCAACCACAAGAUUAUUCAAAUAAAUUUCCUUGUGACGAAUAUCGACCUCUUGACCUUACAGUACUACCACCAGCUAGAUCUAAUCCUAAUAAACUCACGCUUCAACUGAAAAAUGAGGAUACCUUUUUCAAUCAGAACUCCGGAGAAGAUUCUCCUGGUUUCGUGGAAGAUCCAGGAUUUUCAACCCGGACAGAGGAACACUUCCCAGUAUUUUCUCUGCGAGGAGGCGAACCACUUGAAUUUGAACCUAGGUCCGGAGAAAAUUCUCCUGGACUGAACGGAAGAUAUUUGGACUUCAGCGUGGAUAAUUCCGGUAGGAGGAGAUCAGUAUUCCUAGCAGAGCAGUUGGAAUACGAACAUCAAGGAGAGAUGAGGGUUGUGGAUCCAGCAGAGAAUCAAAAAGAAACUUGGUUUAAAUGGUGGACAAUACACAGGGGUCCCUAUUGCUCCGGAAGCAGUUAGCAGAGCUGAACAAGAAUCCUGUAGAAGGAUUCUCAGCUGGUCUUAUAGAUGAUGAUGAUAUCUUCAGAUGGGAGGUUAUGAUAAUAGGUCCUCCAGAUACACUGUACGAGGGAGGAUUCUUUAAAUGUCACCUUCUGUUCCCUAAGGAGUAUCCUCUAAAACCUCCAGAGUUAAAAA
rnacentral:misc_RNA from 1 species